ACUCUCUUCACUCUGCAUGGUUGCACUAGUUGUGGUGUGACUUUCGUACCGGAGAGAGAGAGAAAGGAGCUCUUCAGGACCUUGAAUUGGCCUCCUGGUGGCCUUUCUUUCCUUGAGGGGCACAACAGGC
ensembl:snoRNA